UGGGGAAUAUUGCACAAUGGGCGCAAGCCUGAUGCAGCCAUGCCGCGUGUAUGAAGAAGGCCUUCGGGUUGUAAAGUACUUUCAGCGAGGAGGAAGGCGUUGUGGUUAAUAACCGCAGCGAUUGACGUUACUCGCAGAAGAAGCACCGGCUAACUCCGUGCCAGCAGCCGCGGUAAUACGGAGGGUGCAAGCGUUACUCGGAAUUACUGGGUGUAAAGCGCACGCAGGCGGUCUGUCAAGUCGGAUGUGAAAUCCCCGGGCUCAACCUGGGAACUGCAUCCGAAACUGGCAGGCUAGAGUCUUGUAGAGGGGGGUAGAAUUCCAGGUGUAGCGGUGAAAUGCGUAGAGAUCUGGAGGAAUACCGGUGGCGAAGGCGGCCCCCUGGACAAAGACUGACGCUCAGGUGCGAAAGCGUGGGGAGCAAACA
rnacentral:rRNA from 1 species